GAUCAUGGCUCAGGAUGAACGCUGGCGGCGUGCUUAACACAUGCAAGUCGAACGAAGCACUUUAUUUGAUUUCCUUCGGGACGUGAUUAUUUUGUUGACUGAGUGGCGGACGGGUGGAGUAACGCGUGGGUAACCUGCCUUGUACAGGGGGAGUAACAGUUGGAAACGGCUGCUAAUACCGCAUAAGCGCACGGCAUCGCAUGAUGCAGUGUGAAAAACUCCGGUGGUAUAAGAUGGACCCGCG
rnacentral:rRNA from 1 species